rnacentral:rRNA from 1 species
GAUGAACGCUGGCGGCGUGCCUAAUACAUGCAAGUCGAGCGAACGGACGAGAAGCUUGCUUUUCUGAUGUUAGCGGCGGACGGGUGAGUAACACGUGGAUAACCUACCUAUAAGACUGGGAUAACUUCGGGAAACCGGAGCUAAUACCGGAUAAUAUUUUGAACCGCAUGGUUCAAAAGUGAAAGACGGUCUUGCUGUCACUUAUAGAUGGAUCCGCGCUGCAUUAGCUAGUUGGUAAGGUAACGGCUUACCAAGGCAACGAUGCAUAGCCGACCUGAGAGGGUGAUCGGCCACACUGGAACUGAGUCACGGUCCAGACUCCUACGGGAGGCAGCAGUAGGGAAUCUUCCGCAAUGGGCGAAAGCCUGACGGAGCAACGCCGCGUGAGUGAUGAAGGUCUUCGGAUCGUAAAACUCUGUUAUUAGGGAAGAACACAUGUGUAAGUAACUGUGCACAUCUUGACGGUACCUAAUCAGAAAGCCACGGCUAACUACGUG